rnacentral:lncRNA from 1 species
AAAGCCUUUCUCAGCUGGGUAGGUUCUCGGCAGCACCUUCCGUGACUUCAGGGGAUUUGUUCUCAGCAGGAAAGGCUGCUCAGAGAACUUGGGCCCAUUUCUAUUUAAGCCUUCUAGUGGAACGUUUCUCCAACAGCACCAGAGAAAACAAGAACAUUCAUCACUGGGACUCAGGGCGGGUGUAAUACAGAGCGCUGCUGAAUCAGCUUUCCAGCUGUUCCUGAAGGGAGGGAUCUGUUGUGCAUCUUCGUGGAGACGUGGCCGUGACACAGCUCUCUGGCCAUGGUGCUCUGUAAGUGACACGUCCGAUGCUUGUUUCUUUAUGAGGCCUGGUCAGCGCAAGUGCAUCGCCCAUAGCUGCAGAGUCCCUGCCGAUUGCAGGUGUACAGACGCGGCUGUGUGAGCAGCUGGUGUACCUGCUGCGACUUCUUCACCACCCCCAGGGAACAGGGGACGGCAGCUCCUGGGCUGGGAGUCUGGCUCCUGGUUGCGAUCACCGACCGUGAGACGUUUGCUGGUGAGCUGUUCUUGAUGGUUUGGUGUUGCUCCUAAGGAAAACCCUAUAGCGAAUUGCAGCCAACUGCAAACGUGCCGGGAUUAGGCUGGGCAGCACAAAUACUGUGCCUGCCCAACUCGAGCGUACAAAGCAUUGCCGUUCUGCUGCGUUGUGCAGGGCUUCGAGUACACGGUAUUAAUUCACUGCCAAACAAAAUAAAUUUGACAGCAGAGAAAGCUCUCUCCA